UGCUUUUCUGUGCUAUGGAACAGACUAAACCCUGCCAAAGAUGGGACGGUCCUGAACCUGCGGGACAAGCUCCACUAUCAAAUGCAAGCUUUGGGCUUCCUCUUGUUGUUGGACACAGACGGAGCAUCUCAGCCUUCCCUUAAAUCUCCUAAAUAUGCCGUUGAUGCCAUCACUGAAUUUGAGAAAAACUGUGGAGAGGUGACAAAGGAUGAUGGCCACUUUCUCCUGCAGGAAAUGCGCACAAGUUUUAAUAGAUGUUGGCCCAGCAGUCAGCGUGGGGAGGUGGAUGAGUCCAAGCAGUUCAGACAGACAUCAAAUGUCUAUGCUCUUUCUGAAAUGGCUUUGACUGUUGUGAAGUUACUUUGUAAAGCAGGCCUCUACACUAUGGCCUCCGCCUUCCUGAAGGAAAUCCAGAGCAAGAUCUCGGACUGCGAUCGCUGCCGUUGUACGGCGUUGGUUCUCGGCAAAUGGGGGGUAAAAAUUCAUUCAGCGGCAAAAGCUGGCAAAGAAGAAGGCCAGGCUUUGACUGAAUGUGCCAGAGCCUUGAGGUCACUCCCAACUACACUAGAAGACAGAGAAUCACAUGCAGUCCUGGAAGGAUGCAGUCUAGUGGUAUGGGCUGUUGAAAGCGGCAACAACAAGGGCCAAAGUGGACCGGCGCUUCUGGCCCUGUUUUCUUUUCAGGAGGAACACCAGGAGUUAAUACUGAAGAUUUCAAACCAGAAUUCAACAUGCCAAGUUGAGGCCAGCAGGCUGCAGAAGAUCCUCUGCUUCAGUGUUUACCAAGGCCUGGUAUUUGCUUACGAGAGCAUGAUGGCUUCACAGCUUGAGAACAGCGACACACUGGACCGAGUGCUGCUGUACUGCCAAGCCACGGCUGGACUGAUGAUGACCGAACUCCACAAGCUGCAGAGUGAAAAUCUUUUGGUCAAAGCAGUGGUCGCUGUGAGCAACUUGGCCUGCUGGUUGUACAACAAUCGUCUCUAUGACCAAGCAUUCAGUCUGGUUGAGAUCCUCUGCAGGGAUCUAGUGAAGAAUCGCCCAGGUUUUCUUUCUGUGGAUCGG
rnacentral:lncRNA from 1 species